CAGCAAUUAGAGUUGUGGAGAAAAUUUAAAUUCCUCUGAAAGUUUGAUGCGAACUUAUGUUAUGUUUGCACGCUGUUUAGGUUUUCAAAUAAAAGAGUAGUAGGUUAAUGAAAAGAAUUUACUUGCUUAUUUUGUUGUUGUUUGCCAUUUCAUUUGCUGCUUGCCUCAGAAGAGCUUCAACGGCUGAAAAGCUUUGUAAAGUGAUAUAUCGACGCUAGAGCACAAAUGAGCAGAGAUCGAAGAGAGUCCAUAGUUCGAACAGAGUCACGAAGCUAGAGCACAAAUCCUUCACGAAGCUGCCCUCUUCUCUCUCCUUCACGGGUUAUUGGGGUAGUUCACUCUCUCUCUUCUUUUGCGGUGAUGAAUUUUGGUUGUUUUGCAGGUUGGCUUCUCUGCUUGGGGUCCUCACCUCUCUCGCCUUUGUGACUUUCAAGCUUCGUCCAUGAUUGUCCAGAAGGACAGAUUCAAGAGAUCGAUUCUGUUGGGGAAGAGGCGCGGAUCCAGUACGGCUGUCACUACGUGGAGGCUGAUAGGGGCAAGGGCACCUUCGUCGGAUUGCCAAAUCUUUCAGACUAAAGAAGUCAACGAGUUCCUGAGUGGGCCUUUCGCUGGGGGCUAUGACCAAAGCUGUUAUUGCUCCUUUAGAGACCAUCAGAGAAAAUAAUCACUGAAGAGCCAAUGAACAGGCUCCCAAAAGAGCACACAUAGUCGUGGUUAAACCGAGACUGUGUAACGAAAACGUGGGUUGUGAAUUGCAGCUCCUGCAACUCUAUCUGCAAUUUCACUGCUAUAUAGGUUGAAUUUUUUUUCAGAGCUUCGUCUCCAUGGAAUAGGUGGUUGUCUCUGCUUAGGAGAAGAGUUGUGAGGGUGACAAAGUUUGGAAGAGCUGGUCCCUUUGGUACCUCUUUUCAGGAUUACAAGGAAGCUGCAAGAUUGGAGACUCGCUCAUGUCGUUUGAGGAAGAAGAGUCGGUUCUGCACGAAAGUGGCAAUUGAUGUUAAAAGGUAGUGAAAGUACUGCGAGAAGUAGGAGUCGGAAACAGAAGAGGUCAAGCAAAGGCAGCAAGCUUGUGGAAGCAAAUGACUAAUUGGUUUCACUGGUUGGUGGAGUUUCAAAUUUGCAUUGGUGCCUUCACUUUAUUAAGCAAGGGGGUAAUGAGGCCAUUGUUGAAGAACAAAAUCUUGAGCCAAUUCUUGGUCCACAACUGUUGCAAGAUCAGAUGAGCUCUUUCCAAGAGUCAUUACAAAUAGUGGAUUUGCAAAGGGGCAAUGAGGCUUCCAGUCAACAGGAUCGUGAGCUAACUAAUGGCUCAGUGAG